GUCCCUGUCGCACAAUGGAUAGCACCUUGGACUUCUGAUCCAAAGGUCGUGGAUUCGAAUCCCACUUGGGAUG